rnacentral:tRNA from 1 species
GCCCGGGUGGUGGAAUGGUAGACACGAUGGUCUCAAACACCAUUGUCUUCACGGACAUGUCGGUUCGAGUCCGACCCCGGGUA